GUGCUCGCUUUGGCAGCACAUAUACUAAAACUGAAACGAUACAGAGAAGAUUAGCAAUGGCCCCUGCAUAAGGAAGACAUGCAAAUUCGUGAAGGAUUCCAUAUUUAA